GGGCGUGUAGCCCAGUGGUAAAGCAUCUCAGUCGCAAAAAGUUCGUUGCCUCGAAGCUGUUACAAGACAGGUGAAAGGGUUCCAAUGUACAAGUAUGCUCCAUGAGAAGAUUCCAAGUUCGAAUCCUGGUACGUCCA
rfam:Podospora anserina genomic DNA, chromosome 5.